rnacentral:rRNA from 1 species
UAGGGAAUCUUCGGCAAUGGGGGGAACCCUGACCGAGCAACGCCGCGUGAGUGAAGAAGGUUUUCGGAUCGUAAAGCUCUUUUGUUAAGGAAGAACGAGUGUGAGAAUGGAAAGUUCAUGCUGUGACGGUACUUAACCAGAAAGGGACGGCUAACUACGUGCCAGCAGCCGAGGUAAUACGUAGGUCCCGAGUGUUGUCCGGAUUUAUUGGGCGUAAAGCGAGCGCAGGCGGUUAGAAAAGUCUGAAGUGAAAGGCAGUGGCUCAACCUAUUUAGGCUGUGGAAUCUGUUUAACUUUAGUCCAGAAGGGGGGAGUGGAAUUCCAGGUGUAGCGGUGAAAUGCGUAGAUAUAUGGUGGAACACCGGUGGCGAAAGCGGCUCUAUGGUCUGUAACUGACGCUGAGGCUCGAAAGCGUGGGGAGCGAACAGG